rnacentral:rRNA from 1 species
CCUGAACGCUGGCGGCGUGGCUAAGACAUGCAAGUCGCACGGGCCCGCAAGGGUCAGUGGCGAACGGGAGAGUAAUGAAUCGCUAACGUACCCCGGACUCCGGGAUAGCUACCCGAAAGGGUAGGUAAUACCGGAUGACAUAACUUACAGGCAUCUGUGAGUUCUCAAAGGUCCGCCGGUCUGGGAGCGGGCGAUUUCGUAUCAGCUAGUUGGUGGGGUAACGGCCCACCAAGGCGACGACGCGUAGCCGGACUGAGAGGUUGGCCGGCCUCAUUGGGACUGAGACACUGCCCAGACUCCUACGGGGGGCUGCAGUAACGAAUCUUCCGCAAUGCACGAAAGUGUGACGGAGCGACGCCGCGUGUGGGACGAAGCCCUUCGGGGUGUAAACCACUGUCAGGGGUUACCAAGUUCUGAGGAGCCCCAGAGGAAGGCACGGCUAACUCUGUGCCAGCAGCCGCGGUAAGACAGAGGUGCCGAGCGUUAGGCGGAAUCACUGGGCUUAAAGCGUGUGUAGGCGGACUGUUAAGUACCUUGUGAAAUCCCACGGCUCAACCGUGGAACUGCUCGGUAUACUGGCGGUCUUUGAGCCACUUAGGGGUCGUCGGAACAAACGGUGGAGCGGUGAAAUGCGUAGAUAUCGUUUGAAACGCCAACGGUGAAAACAGACGACUGGGAGUGCGCUGACGCUGAGACACGAAAGCCAGGGGAGCGAACGGGAUUAGAUACCCCGGUAGUCCUGGCCCUAAACGAUGUCGACUAGGUCGUGC